GAUGAAGAACGCAGCGAAAUGCGAUAAGUAGUGUGAAUUGCAGAAUUCAGUGAAUCAUCGAAUCUUUGAACGCACAUUGCGCCUCUUGGUAUUCCAUGGGGCAUGCCUGUUCGAGCGUCAUUUGUACCUUCAAGCUUUGCUUGGUGUUGGGUGUUUGUCUCGCCUUUGCGUGUAGACUCGCCUUAAAAUAAUUGGCAGCCGGCGUAUUGAUUUCGGAGCGCAGUACAUCUCGCGCUUUGCACUCAUAACGACAGCGUCCAAAAGUACAUUUUACACUCUUGACCUCGGAUCAGGUAGGGAUACCCGCUGAACUUAAGCAUAUCAAUAAGCGGAGGA
rnacentral:misc_RNA from 1 species